GAUGAAGAACGUAGCGAAAUGCGAUAAGUAAUGUGAAUUGCAGAAUUCAGUGAAUCAUCGAAUCUUUGAACGCACAUUGCGCUCGCCAGUAUUCUGGCGAGCAUGCCUGUUCGAGCGUCAUUUCAACCAUCAAGCUCUGCUUGCGUUGGGGAUCCGCGUCUGACGCGGUCCCUCAAAAACAGUGGCGGGCUCGCUAGUCACACCGAGCGUAGUAACUCUACAUCGCUAUGGUCGUGCGGCGGGUUCUUGCCGUAAAACCCCCAAUUUCUAAGGUUGACCUCGGAUCAGGUAGGAAUACCCGCUGAACUUAAACAUAUCAAUAAGCGGAGGA
rnacentral:misc_RNA from 1 species